rnacentral:lncRNA from 1 species
UAGAGCAUGAGCUCCGCCUCCUCUGUUCCUUGACGGAUGAAUAAUGUUUCUGCUGUGCUAUUCCGACCUAGUCUUGUUCUAUUGGCGGCAGCGGAUCUGGACAAAAGGACCCACUUGCGGGUCACCGGUCCUUUAGGGCUGGGUACAGAGAACAUGAGUAUCUGUUCAGUGUCACAGCUCCAAUUUCAGGACGUGACUUUUCCUAUGCCAUCGGCUUCAUCAGGGGCCCUGUGACCAGAACGCAGCACUUCUUCUCCACCAUCUUAAGCCAGCCCCCCGGUACAUAGUUGUAUGUUUUUAGUUGUUGGUCCUUCUAGUUGCGGCAUGUGGGACACCGCCUCAACACGGCCUGAUGAGCAGUGCCAUGUCCACACCCAGGAUUCGAACUGGCAAAACCCUGGACUGCCGAAGCGGAGCGCAUGAACUUAACCACUUGGUCACCGGGCCGGCCCCUGCAUUUAUUAAUACAUUGUUUCCUGCCAGCAUUUUGACAAAAUCAGAAAUAAUAGAUUCCCCUAUCAAAUUCACAUCUAUCACUUCCUAUUCUGCCCAUUAAAAAGCACAGUUGUGGAUGUCAAGAAAGCUCUGCCAUCCAUCAGAAGAUUUUUUGCAUUUGCUAGAGUUAAAAUAAACAAAAAAUCAGUCACUUAAUACUCUUAGUUGGAUGAGAAGGAAAACACCAAUGAAUCAAUUCUCUUUUCUUCCUGCUCUGCUUUCUAUCAGUCAUUCAACAAAUAUUUAAGAAUGUCCUUUGGUGACAGUCACUAAGCUAGAGAUUGGGAAAUAUAAGUGGAUAAGGUGAGAUAAUGACUUUCAAGAAGAGACGGAUGACGAGGGAGCACCUCCAUUUGCUGUGGACCCUGUGUGUGCCAGGCGCUCUGCUAGGCCCUGUAUGUACCGUAUCACCAGGCAGAUCCAGGAUUUAGGGGUCUUCUUUAGCAAAAAGAAUACAAAAUUACAAAAACAAAACUAGGUACAGGGCCUUAGAAGAGGCUUGAAUCAGAUCCCAUCACUUUCUUACCUAUAGACCUAUAAAAAACAUCCCUUUCACACUGGGAAUAAAAUCUAAACUCUUUACCUUGGCCUUUUAUCAUUUGGUCCCUUGUAGACGCCCCCUUUGGAGCCCUAUAUUAAAUAUGGAGUGCAUUUUCCCUAUUUGAAGUAUCAACCAAAUUGGCGUUUGACUGACAGAGACAGGGAAGGAAUCACUAGCUCAACAGUUCCCAAAAUUCGGUCUUCAAAAGCCUAUGUGGAGGACUCUUUUCACCAGAGGAGAGCCCUGCCCCAACCCAGUGAUGCUGAAUCAGUGUCUCUGUGGGUGUGGUCCACGGAGACGCACUUUAGCAAGGGGCACCCCCAGAAAGUCUGAUAAAGUUUAAGAUCACUGCUCUAAAUCUAGACACAGGAUUUCAGUUUGAAGAUCAUUAGCAGCAGAACUUUGGUUUAUAUUAAUUACAAAGAGAAAGAUGAAACAGUGAACAUUUCUCAACUGUGGGCUGUUCAUAAAAAUGACUGGGCCCCAAGCCCCUUCCUAUUUCCGUCCCGGAUUCGGAUGUAACUGAUCUGAGUGGCCUCUGGAUGUUGUGUGCCCUAGAUAAUGUACAGUAUAUUUCGAUGAGAUAUUGCAGGAAGUAAUCCUAACAUAAGACCAGG